GAUGAACGCUGGCGGCGUGCCUAACACAUGCAAGUCGAGCGAAGCGGGGACGGGGGAGUAAAAUGUGGAUAACCUCCUAUAAGACUGGGAUAAAUUCGGGAAAACGGAGCUAAACCGGAAUCUUAAAGAUGGAUCCGUGCUGCAUUAGCUAGUUGGUAAGGUAACGGCUUACCAAGGCAACGAUGCAUAGCCGACCUGGGAGGGUGAUCGGCCACACUGGAACUGAGACACGGUCCAGACUCCUACGGGAGGCAGCAGUAGGGAAUCUUCCGCAAUGGGCGAAAGCCUGACGGAGCAACGCCGCGUGAGUGAUGAAGGUCUUCGGAUCGUAAAACUCUGUUAGUAGGGAAGCGGUACCUAAUCAGAAAGCCACGGCUAACUACGUGCCAGCAGCCGCGGUAAUUC
rnacentral:rRNA from 1 species